GAAAGAUGGCUUUGGCUAUCACUCUGGGAUGGACCUGCGGUGCAUUAGCUAGUUGGUAAGGUAACGGCUUACCAAGGCGAUGAUGCAUAGCCGAGUUGAGAGACUGAUCGGCCACAAUGGAACUGAGACACGGUCCAUACUCCUACGGGAGGCAGCAGUAGGGAAUCUUCCACAAUGGGCGCAAGCCUGAUGGAGCAACACCGCGUGAGUGAAGAAGGGUUUCGGCUCGUAAAGCUCUGUUGUUGGAGAAGAACGUGCGUGAGAGUAACUGUUCAUGCAGUGACGGUAUCCAACCAGAAAGUCACGGCUAACUACGUGCCAGCAGCCGCGGUAAUACGUAGGUGGCAAGCGUUAUCCGGAUUUAUUGGGCGUAAAGCGAGCGCAGGCGGUUGCUUAGGUCUGAUGUGAAAGCCUUCGGCUUAACCGAAGAAGUGCAUCGGAAACCGGGCGACUUGAGUGCAGAAGAGGACAGUGGAACUCCAUGUGUAGCGGUGGAAUGCGUAGAUAUAUGGAAGAACACCAGUGGCGAAGGCGGCUGUCUGGUCUGCAACUGACGCUGAGGCUCGAAAGCAUGGGUAGCGAACAGGAUUAGAUACCCUGGUAGUCCAUGCCGUAAACGAUGAGUGCUAGGUGUUGGAGGGUUUCCGCCCUUCAGUG
rnacentral:rRNA from 1 species